rnacentral:rRNA from 1 species
UGGGGAAUAUUGCACAAUGGGGGGAACCCUGAUGCAGCGACGCCGCGUGAGUGAAGAAGUAUUUCGGUACGUAAAGCUCUAUCAGCAGGGAAGAAAAAAGACGGUACCUGAGUAAGAAGCCCCGGCUAACUACGUGCCAGCAGCCGCGGUAAUACGUAGGGGGCAAGCGUUAUCCGGAAUUACUGGGUGUAAAGGGAGCGUAGACGGCAAUGCAAGUUCGGAGUGGAAUGCAUCAGCUCAACUGAUGAAUUGCUCUGAAAACUGUAAAGCUAGAGUGCAGGAGGGGUAAGUGGAAUUCCUGGUGUAGCGGUGAAAUGCGUAGAUAUCAGGAGGAACACCGGUGGCGAAGGCGGCUUACUGGACUGUAACUGACGUUGAGGCUCGAAAGCGUGGGGAGCAAACAGG